UACGUAGGGUGCAAGCGUUGUCCGGAAUUAUUGGGCGUAAAGAGCUCGUAGGCGGCUUGUCGCGUCGGCUGUGAAAACCUGGGGCUCAACUCCGGGCUUGCAGCCGAUACGGGCAAGCUAGAGUUCGGUAGGGGAGACUGGAAUUCCUGGUGUAGCGGUGAAAUGCGCAGAUAUCAGGAGGAACACCAAUAGCGAAGGCAGCUCGCUGGGACGUACUGACACUGAGGCGCGAAAGCGUGGGGAGCGAACAGG
rnacentral:rRNA from 1 species